rnacentral:rRNA from 1 species
UACGGGGGGGGCAAGCGUUGUUCGGAAUUACUGGGCGUAAAGGGCUCGUAGGCGGCCAACUAAGUCGGAUGUGAAAUCCCCAGGCUUAACCUGGGAACUGCAUCCGAUACUGGAUGGCUUGAAUCCGGGAGAGGGAUGCAGAAUUCCAGGUGUAGCGGUGAAAUGCGUAGAUAUCUGGAGGAACACCGGUGGCGAAGGCGGCAUCCUGGACCAAUACUGACACUGAGGAGCGAAAGCGUGGGGAGCGAACAGG